UCUCUGAUUUCCCCCUCUGACAACGGAAUGGACGACUAAUCUUCGAAAAUGACCGAGAGAUCUGGAGAAAUUGAUGGAACUGCUGCAACAUCCGAGUCUGGAUCCUAGAGCGAAGAAGUCUCUGGAUUUUCGGGAUCUCCUUCUGUUGAGUCUGAGGUAUAGUCCUCCUCAAUAUCAUCAUCGUCGUCAUCGUCUUCUCUAGGCGAAACAGGGCACGACGCCAAGGUCGACAUCGGGCACGAUGUCGAUGUCUGGUACGAUGUCGAGUUCGGUGUCAAGAAUAACUGCAACCGUCGACUCCGGAGCAGCGAAGCCUGUAGACACUGGCCUUGAUGCCGAGUGGUGUCGGUGUCGAGAAGUUGGUAUAGAAGGCACCGCCGUCUCCUGUCUAUUCUCCCUCGACGCUGAGUGGUCUCGAUGUCGAGACAGUGGAGUCAAUGGAGACUGGUGAGGUGUCAGCGCCGGGGAUAAGGAAGCCGCUCGCCAUCGAGGGUUGACAUAAUUCUGUAGUCCUGAAGGUGAGGGAGUGUGCUCCACAACCGGCUCUAACUGCUUCUGCUUCUUAGGAGGCGGCUCCUGCUUCAGAAGCUUUUCCCUGUGUUUCCUCUCGUGGCUUGAAUGGCUAUCCUCCGGUUGCUUAAAAGGGGCUGAUGCAGUCGAGGUAGAAGCAGUCGACGCCACAGCUUUCGAUGUCGUAGCCCUCGCUGCGGAAGCACUUGAUGUCGAGGCCCUCUCUGCCGAUUUUGAGGAACCAGCUUCCUUCGGGGUCUUAGACUGCCCUUUCGGAGCAGGACUCGGCACAGUACUCUCUGUAGCCAUCUUAGGCGCCAGAGACUCCUCAAGCAAAUACACCCUAAGGCGUGCUGCACGAUUCUUUAAAGUCUGCUUGCUAAAAGUAACACAGACCGAGCAGGAUUUUGUGUCAUGCCUCUCUCCUAAACAGAACAAGCAGAGGGCAUGGCCGUCUGUUGAGGGAAUCUUCCCGCAGCAGUUGGUGCACCGCUUAAAGGUUGUCUUGUCCCUCCCAGACUUCCCUGUGCCAUCUGUCU